rnacentral:rRNA from 1 species
UACAGAGGUCUCAAGCGUUGUUCGGAUUCAUUGGGCGUAAAGGGUGCGUAGGCGGCAGCGCAAGUCGGGCGUGAAAUCCCACGGCUCAACCGUGGAAGUGCACUCGAAACUGCGCAGCUAGAGUCCUGGAGAGGAAGGUGGAAUGCUUGGUGUAGAGGUGAAAUUCGUAGAUAUCAAGCGGAACACCGGUGGCGAAGGCGGCCUUCUGGACAGUGACUGACGCUGAGAUGCGAAAGCGUGGGGAGCAAACAGG